rnacentral:rRNA from 1 species
GUGCAGCAGUCGAGAAACUUUACAAUGUGCGAAAGCACGAUAAGGGAACUCUGAGUGCCUCCUAAGGAGGCUGUUCAGGUGUCUAAAAGCACCUGAAGGAAGGGCUGGGUAAGACCGGUGCCAGCCGCCGCGGUAACACCGGCAGCCCAAGUGGUAGCCACGUUUAUUGGGUCUAAAGCGUCCGUAGCCGGCUGGGUAAGUUCCUUGGGAAAUUUGGCUGCUUAACAGUCAAGCUUUCAGGGAAUACUGCCCGGCUUGGGACCGGGAGAGGUCAGAGGUACUCCAGGGGUAGGGGUGAAAUCCAUUAAUCCUUGGGGGACCACCGGUAGCGAAGGCGUCUGACCAGACCGGGUCCGACGGUGAGGGACGAAGGCUAGGGGCGCGAACCGGAUUACAUA